rnacentral:rRNA from 1 species
UACGUAGGGGGCAAGCGUUAUCCGGAUUUACUGGGUGUAAAGGGAGCGUAGACGGUGAUGCAAGUCAGAAGUGAAAGCCCGCGGCUCAACUGCGGGACUGCUUUUGAAACUGUAUGACUAGAGUGCAGGAGAGGUAAGCGGAAUUCCUAGUGUAGCGGUGAAAUGCGUAGAUAUUAGGAGGAACACCAGUGGCGAAGGCGGCUUACUGGACUGUAACUGACACUGAGGCUCGAAAGCGUGGGGAGCAAACAGG